GAUGAACGCUGGCGGCGUGCCUAAUACAUGCAAGUCGAGCGAACAGAUGGGGAGCUUGCUCCUCUGACGUUAGCGGCGGACGGGUGAGUAACACGUGGAUAACCUACCUAUAAGACUGGGAUAACUUCGGGAAACCGGAGCUAAUACCGGAUAAUAUAUUGAACCGCAUGGUUCAAUAGUGAAAGACGGUUUUGCUGUCACUUAUAGAUGGAUCCGCGCCGCAUUAGCUAGUUGGUAAGGUAACGGCUUACCAAGGCAACGAUGCGUAGCCGACCUGAGAGGGUGAUCGGCCACACUGGAACUGAGACACGGUCCAGACUCCUACGGGAGGCAGCAGUAGGGAAUCUUCCGCAAUGGGCGAAAGCCUGACGGAGCAACGCCGCGUGAGUGAUGAAGGUCUUCGGAUCGUAAAACUCUGUUAUUAGGGAAGAACAAAUGUGUAAGUAACUAUGCACGUCUGGACGGUACCUAAUCAGAAAGCCACGGCUAACUACGUG
rnacentral:rRNA from 1 species